rnacentral:rRNA from 1 species
ACGAACGCUGGCGGCGCGCCUAACACAUGCAAGUCGAACGAGCGAGAGAGAGCUUGCUUUCUCGAGCGAGUGGCGAACGGGUGAGUAACGCGUGAGGAACCUGCCUCAAAGAGGGGGACAACAGUUGGAAACGACUGCUAAUACCGCAUAAGCCCACGACCCGGCAUCGGGUAGAGGGAAAAGGAGCAAUCCGCUUUGAGAUGGCCUCGCGUCCGAUUAGCUAGUUGGUGAGGUAACGGCCCACCAAGGCGACGAUCGGUAGCCGGACUGAGAGGUCGAACGGCCACAUUGGGACUGAGACACGGCCCAGACUCCUACGGGAGGCAGCAGUGGGGAAUAUUGCACAAUGGGGGAAACCCUGAUGCAGCGACGCCGCGUGGAGGAAGAAGGUCUUCGGAUUGUAAACUCCUGUUGUUGAGGAAGAUAAUGACGGUACUCAACAAGGAAGUGACGGCUAACUACGUG